UACGUAGGGUGCGAGCGUUGUCCGGAAUUAUUGGGCGUAAAGAGCUCGUAGGCGGCCUGUCGCGUCGGAUGUGAAAGCCCCGGGGCUUAACCCCGGGUCUGCAUUCGAUACGGGCAGGCUAGAGUGUGGUAGGGGAGAUCGGAAUUCCUGGUGUAGCGGUGAAAUGCGCAGAUAUCAGGAGGAACACCGGUGGCGAAGGCGGAUCUCUGGGCCGAUAUUGACGCUGAGGAGCGAAAGCGUGGGGAGCGAACAGG
rnacentral:rRNA from 1 species